rnacentral:lncRNA from 10 species
CUUGAACUCAUUCUGAUUAAAUAGUUCAUCCUCCUUUUCUUUGCAGUUUCAGAGCAUGUUAAGGCUACCAGUAAUAUGUCAAGAAUCUGCACCCAGCAUUGCUUUUAUCUGACUGCCAACUCUGUAUCACCAUCAUGUACCAGCCUUCAAUAAUGGUCAGAUGCUGCCAUGUAAGAAGUGUGACCACCCUGAGCCAAACAUGCUCUGAUAAUCUCAAGCCAUGUGGAAAGGCCCCAAAGGAUUAGACAUGUAUGGAAAGAGCUCAGUGAGCCCUAAGACAUCAGAUAUGUGAGUGAAGAAGCCAUCUUGGAAGAGAACUCUGCUCUCCAACUGCCACCUGCUUUCUGCCUCAGCCAGGAACACAUGGAGCAGAAAGGAGCUGUCCAUCUAAGCCAUCUGAAUUCCUGACCUAUUAAAUCAUAAUCAAAAUAAAAUUGUUGUCUUAAACCUCU